GGCUCAGGACGAACGCUGGCGGCGUGCUUAACACAUGCAAGUCGAACGGUGAACCGGGCUUCGGCCCGGGGAUCAGUGGCGAACGGGUGCGUAACACGUGGGCAACCUGCCCCAGACACUGGGAUAACUCCGGGAAACCGGGGCUAAUACCGGAUACUCUCGUCCGAUCUCAUGAUCGGCCGAGGAAAGCUCCGACGGUCUGGGAUGGGCCCGCGGCCUAUCAGCUUGUUGGUGGGGUAACGGCCUACCAAGGCGACGACGGGUAGCUGGUCUGAGAGGACGACCAGCCACACUGGAACUGAGACACGGUCCAGACUCCUACGGGAGGCAGCAGUGGGGAAUCUUGCGCAAUGGGCGAAAGCCUGACGCAGCGACGCCGCGUGGGGGAUGAAGGCCCUCGGGUCGUAAACCCCUUUCGGCAGGGACGAAGCGAACGUGACGGUACCUGCAGAAGAAGUCCCGGCUAACUACGUGCCAGCAGCCGCGGUAAGACGUAGGGGACGAGCGUUGUCCGGAUUCAUUGGGCGUAAAGAGCGCGUAGGCGGCCGCGCAAGUCGGAUGUGAAAACCCGGGGCUCAACCCCGGGCCUGCAUCCGAUACUGCGUGGCUAGAGGUAGGUAGGGGAGAUCGGAAUUCCUGGUGUAGCGGUGAAAUGCGCAGAUAUCAGGAGGAACACCGGUGGCGAAGGCGGAUCUCUGGGCCUUACCUGACGCUCAGGCGCGAAAGCUAGGGGAGCGAACAGGAUUAGAUACCCUGGUAGUCCUAGCCGUAAACGUUGGGUGCUAGGUGUGGGUGGACAUCAACCCCAUCCGUGCCGAAGCUAACGCAUUAAGCACCCCGCCUGGGGAGUACGGCCGCAGGGCUAAAACU
rnacentral:rRNA from 1 species